rnacentral:rRNA from 1 species
ACMAAGGCHUMGAUCAGUAGCUGGUCURAGAGGACGACCAGCCACACUGGGACUGAGACACGGCCMAGACUCUACGGGAGGCAGCAGUGGGGAAUUUUGGACAAKGGGGGCAACCCUGAUCCAGCAAUGCCGCGUGAGUGAAGAAGGCCUUMGGGUUGUAAAGCUCUUUUGUCAGGGAAGAAASGGUCUGAUCUAAUACAUUGGGCUAAUGASGGUACCUGAAGAAUAAGCACCGGCUAACACGUGCCAGCAGCCGSGGUAAUACGUAGGGUGCAAGCGUUAAUCGGAAUUACUGGGCGUAAAGCGUGCGCAGGCGGUUAUGUAASACAGGUGUGAAAUCCCSGGGCUUAACCUGGGAAUGGCAUUUGUGACUGCAUAGCUAGAGUGUGUCAGAGGGGGGUAGAAUUCCACKUGUAGCAGUGAAAUGCGUAGAGAUGUGGAGGAAUACCGAUGGCGAAGGCAGCCCCYUGGGAUAACACUGACGCUMAUGCACGAAAGCGUGGGGAGCAAACAGGAUUAGAUACCCUGGUAGUCCACGCCCUAAACGAUGUCUACUAGUUGUCGGGUCUWAAUUGACUUGGUAACGCACKCAA